GACGAACGCUGGCGGCGUGCUUAACACAUGCAAGUCGAACGGAAAGGCCCUUCUUUGGUGGUAUUCUCGAGUGGCGAACGUGUGAGUAACACGUGAGUAACCUGCCCUUGACUUUGGUAUAACUUCAGGAAACUGGGGCUAAUACCGUAUAGGAUCUCCUGCUGCGUUGGGGGGGUGGGAGAUUUUGGGCGGUUGGGUAUGGACUCGCGGCUUAUCAGCUUGUUGGUGGGGUAGUGUCUUACCAAGUCUUUGACGGAUAGCGGGCCUGAGAGGGUACCCGGCAACAUGGGGCCUGAGAUACGGCCCAGCUUCCAACGGGAGGAAGCAGUGGGGAAUAUUGACAAAUGGGGGGAAGCCGGAGGAAGAACCGCCGGGUGCGGAAUGCCGGCUUUGGGGUGGUAACCCGCUUUGGCCUGUGCCGAAGUGUGAGUGACGGUAAUGGGUAAAGAAGCACCGGCUAACUACGUG
rnacentral:rRNA from 1 species